rnacentral:rRNA from 1 species
UGCGGAGGAAAAGAAACCAACAGGGAUUGCCUCAGUAACGGCGAGUGAAGCGGCAAAAGCUCAAAUUUGAAAUCUGGCUCUUUCAGGGUCCGAGUUGUAAUUUGUAGAAGAUGCUUUGGGUGUGGCUCUGGUUUAAGUUCUUUGGAAUAUUACAUCAUAGAGGGUGAGAAUCCCGUAUGUGACCAGUCGCCGCGCCCGUGUAAAGCUCUUUCAACGAGUCGAGUUGUUUGGGAAUGCAGCUCAAAAUGGGAGGUAUAUUUCUUCUAAAGCUAAAUAUUGGCCAGAGACCGAUAGCGCACAAGUAGAGUGAUCGAAAGAUGAAAAGCACUUUGGAAAGAGAGUUAAACAGUACGUGAAAUUGUUGAAAGGGAAGCGCUUGCAACCAGACUUGCACGCAGUUGAUCAUCCGGUGUUCUCACCGGGGCACUCUGCUGCGUUCAGGCCAGCAUCGGUUUUGGUGGUUGGAUAAAGGCCUUGGGAAUGUAGCUUCUUUCGGGGAGUGUUAUAGCCCUUGGUGCAAUGCAGCCUACCGGGACCGAGGACCGCGCUUCGGCUAGGAU